UAUUUUUGCUAUAGUUUACCAAGCAUACGGUAGGUGGCGGCAUGCACCUCUAUAGCUAGUUUGCAGACCGCCAUAAUACCAUAGAAGAAGACGGAACGUAAACUACUCAACAUGGAGACAGCAGUUGAUAAACUGGAGGCGAUGUUCCAGAAGGCAGAGGCUGACAUGGAGUACAUGGAGAAGCGGCUACGACUGGAUUUCCUGACUAAUGUUCCAGAGAACAGUGCAGCAGAGGAAAACCCUGUGAAGCUGCUGGAGAACCUGUCAGCCAUCAAGACGAGGCAUGCGGCCCUGUGCACACAAGUGCAGGAGAUCGCAGCCGAGCAGAAGCAAUCAAUGGACUCCAUACGAGUGCACCUCGACACCACUGUGCAGCUGGUGCAACAGUUACAGCAGGCUGCUGACGUUGAGCUUCCUACACUGACUGAGACGGAGCAGGAGUCUGCAGAGUUCCUUGGUUUAUCAGUCAAUCAAAACACAGCAGCGGUACCGAUGUCUAUGGAGCUUCAAGCCCAAGAGCUGCCUCGGUCCUCGAGGGAGGGCGAGUUUGAGGAGCUGAGUGAAGCCACACUGGAGGCAGUGCCGUGCAGCAUGCGUGCCAACGUCAAGCUGGCCAACCUCAAUGCCUUCUACAAGCAGCUGCACGAGUACUUCUCCUUCAGAAAAAACAGUGGUGCCCUCAGUUUGCAGAAGAUGAAGCAGAUGAACAUGAAGGUUAGCGACGCCAAGCUGAAAACGUUGCAGCACCUCUCUCUCAUUGAGCUAGACAAGAAAGGGCAUGUUCGUCUGCUAAUGUGAGACUGAGGAACCUGCAUAGCCGAGAGGCUAAAAUAUAAGACCCCACCGCACUAUGUGAUGAAAAGUGACUGAUUCUGCCCAUCUCUCCUUGUCCAUUUGCUAGGCAUAUUAGCCUCAUUGAAGGGUUUUCAGUUGAAUCCUCAUGCCUACAUAUGCUGUGGUUCGAUUUUAAUUUGCUAGAUAUUUUUCUUAAAUGACACCCCAGAAUCUUCUUUCAAAAGGUCGCAAAGUUCUUUCGCAUGGCACUGUAUGUAGUGUUUUCUGGCUUAUGUAUCAGCCAAAUACAUUUCACCUGUAAAUAUGUGAUGAACGAUUUAAUGCCACUGGCUUUCCAACUGUAUUGUACGUCUUGUGUCGAGUGUCAAUGAAUUUUAUGAGCAUUCAUUAAAUUGAAAUAUUCCCUCUGCCCAGGUACCCAAUCAAAAAUAAAUUUAACAAGGCGUGCAAACAUGUAUUAGCAUCUCAAUGUACAGUUUAAAGUCUCUUUCUCCCAAGUAUGUAAAACAAUUACUUAAAAUUUAACAGGAACUUUAAAUGAAUCCAUAAAAGUUUAAAAAUGCAGAUG